CAAACACCUCCAGGAUUCUCGCAGCAUUCAGAGCACCGAGCAGCUCCUCCAUGUCCAUAGUACGCUCCGUGACCUUAAACUCACCCUGAAAGAGCACAGGAAACAACAUUAGAAACGCCUCCGCAUCACUACCAGCAAAGGUGGCUCUGUCUCUGGCGUUACACAUCUGAGAUCUGCAGGUGCUGGCCUCACCAACCUCCGAAAUGUUCAUUGCUUUCUUUGUAAUGUGAUUCUGUUCUGCAUCUGCCAUCCCACUAUAUGGAUUCUGUUCACUAUUUAAUAUGUGUGAAGUGCUAUGAGAUGACAUGCUGUGAACUGGUGUUGCAUCAAUAAAAUUUAACUGAAUUGCAUUAAAUGA